UACGAAGGGGGCUAGCGUUGCUCGGAAUCACUGGGCGUAAAGGGCGCGUAGGCGGCCAUUCAAGUCAGGGGGUGAAAGCCUGUGGCUCAACCACAGAAUUGCCUUUGAUACUGUUUGGCUAGAGACCGGAAGAGGUAAGUGGAACUGCGAGUGUAGAGGUGAAAUUCGUAGAUAUUCGCAAGAACACCAGUGGCGAAGGCGGCUUACUGGUCCGGUUCUGACGCUGAGGCGCGAAAGCGUGGGGAGCAAACAGG
rnacentral:rRNA from 1 species